UAUAAAGCAUAGUGACAUUGUCUUCUCUCUCACCCUACUCUAAUAAGGCUUUAAUAUCUGGAGCUCAUAGGUGGGAGAUAAAAUAUACAUACUUACAAGACAUUUAUUGCAUAGUCAAACCAUGGAUCCAAAGUAACAAGUCAAUAAGUUUAAUCAAGAUGUGCAUGUGUGGCGAAUGAAUGGUAUAUGGUGAUGAUGGUGAUAACAAUGGUGGUGGAAGUCUAAUUCUACUUUGCUCUUUUGAGGGGAUACAUACCUUCCUUGCUUUUGAAACUUUAUGAGGAGAAUGAGAUGCUCUUCUUUUUCUUUUCUCUUAGGUGGGUAUCUUGCACCCCUAAUUCUACUGUCGGACACUUGUCCAUUUUUACCUCUCGUCUCACUUUUUCUUUUCUUUCGAGGUUCCGAGCACUUGCUCCUUUUUAUUUCCUCGUAUUAUUAUUAUUUUUUUUAAUAUUGAGCAUUCAUCUCAUGAGAUAAUAUAGCAAGUGGUAGUAACAAGAUAACUUGAGCAUUUAUUUCACAAGGGAAAAACAGAAAUAUUUUUGGUUAUUCUCUCCCGGAUUAGGAGCAGAAUAUUUUUAGGUGGUUCUGGAGAUGGAAUGGGUGGAUAUAUGUGGAUGGUACUUCCGGAAUAGAAGUAGCAUAUAUGAGUGAACGUGUAAGUGAAAUCUUGAUUUAACCACAUGACAAGCUCCUAAGGGUCUACACAGCUUGACCACACUCAAUGCUCAUAAGCAGUAAAUAAUAAAUGUGUGGCUCAAAGUCUAGCAAGCAUGUAUAUAUGGCUGUGGUAGGAAUUUAAGCUCUCAUCAUACAGGAACUCAUCAUGCAACAUUUUAAAGAUUUUCAAAGAUAAAAUUCUCCAGAAUUCUAGCAUCUCUAGGAACAGAUAAACAGCAGCUCAGCCUUCCCAUAUCGUAUCCGUUAACAACUUAGACUUCAGAUCAAGUUUUUAUCCCACAAGUAUAGGUCUAGAGCAAGCUUUAAAUUAUAACAUUUAUAUCUAAACUUGAGAGAGAAC
rnacentral:lncRNA from 1 species